CCGCGCCCCGAACGCGCCCGCGCGCGCAACGUAGUGCAGUGCCCCGAACGGCGUGACGUCAGUCACGGCCUCCUACGUGUGCAAAGCGCCCGGCCGGGUGUGGCACUGCGCAAGGGUAUUGUUUCUCAGGCAUUUUAUAAUAUAAACAAAAACUAAGAAAUCUAAACCAUUCAAUAAUUAAUGUUAAUUAAAUGAUCAUAUGUUACAAGGGUAUAAUUCACAAAACUGGCCGAAGUCAUCUUCCCGCGCUCCGCAGUUUUCCCGCGGAAUUUCCCCCCUCCCUGGCCCCGGCGGCCAGGGAGGUUAGUCAGUCGCCAUCCAGCACUCGCCCGGGCCGGCAGCCCACACACGGGGAGCCUUCAAUUUUCGCGCCAACACCAUAUAACUGCAAUAGAUUGUUUGUGGUGACCUUAUCCACUUGAAUCAAGCAACAGUAAGCAGAAUUAUCAAGGUAACUUCAAAUGAGCUGGCAGGACAUUUGCUGCAGUAUGCACACUUCCCAGGACCAGGAGGUAUUCGUAGUAACCAGAGGAAGUUCUACGAUUUGGGUGAAUUUCCUGGAGUCACUGGUUGUAUUGACUGCACGCACAUCUGUAUUAGUAAUCCUGGUGGCCAGUUUCCUGAGUUGUACCGUAACAGAAAACAGUACAUGUCCUUGAAUGUUCAGGUUUGUGUAGAUAAUUAUUAUGUUUGUGUCGUAAAAGAGAGGUAAUUUCGAAAACACUUUUUUGGAGCACUAAAGCUGUUCUUAUAUUUUAACCUGAAAAUAGUGUUUAUAAAUUGCUACUGAUUUCUGAAAAAUCACAGUUUAUUGAUUACAUUACAUUACCUUUGCAUUGAUGUGGCCACUCUCAUUUUUUGCUUUCCUAGGUGGGCAAACCUCACGUUCACAACAUCCAUUCCGAGGCCACAUUUGUGCAUGUUCAGCAUAAAUAUUACAAGUUUGUGAUAGUGUGAGAAUGGGAGAUGGGUUAAGUUAGUAACAUUUAAGUUAUUUUAAAAUAUUUCAAUGGGUUGAUAUAAUUAGUAUAGCUACAAUAAAAAUACUGUUAGAUGUUUUUAAUGGUAGCUUUGGAAUUGCCAUGUAGCAUAACAACCAAUUAAUAUCAGUGCAUUCUGUGGCCUAAACAGUUCCUAAAUUCAUUGGAGGUCACGGAAGUUUGCAGUUCGCACAAGCAACUUCAAUAAUUGUACAUACUAUAAAUAAAAACGUGAAUAAAAGAUGUCUAUAUUGUCUUUCAUAUACUUAAAUGACAGAGAAAUUAAUUUUUGAGCUUUGUUUAAAAUAUUAAAAAUAGUGUGGGCUGGUAAUUAGGUUACGUUAGCUACAUUUAAAAUAGUGAUAAAUUGUGUGUGGUUGGUUAGGUGAGGAUAGCUGUAUCUUAUAUUAGCAAUUCCUUAGCAACUGAUAACAUUAUUUUACAGUAUUUUUUGUGUAGGUUAUUUAACUUAAUAGACCAGUCUCAUGAUUUGACUUGAGUUCUCGAAAUCAUAUACACAGACCCAUGUGGGAAAGAAAAAAUGGCUACAGGUGUGUCAGUGCACACACAUUGUAAUGUGCACUAUAAACUGAAUAUUCGGAAUCUGGUAGGAAUUUAGAAAUUAUAUUUUCAGGAAAAUUACAUGAAUGUUUCAGGUGUUCAAAAAAAUUAUUUAGGAAUUUUAUUAUUAAUGAAUGGAAAAUGCAGCGGUGUGAGAAUUUAACAAAAAAUUGAAUUAAUUACUGUACUUGAGAUGAUAAUUGAGAAUUUAUUUUUAGUAACCUGCUUCUGCAUUCGGUAAAAACCUUAAACAAGUUUAAAAUUAAAUUAAACCGUUAAUCAUAUAGAUUUUUAAAUGUUAACCAUUUUUAGAGAUUCUUUAGUAUUUACUUUUUUUUUGUACAGCCAAACAUUAUAUGAAUUUUAAGUGUUUGGGUAAUUUAACAAAUGUAUGUAUAUACAUUAGGUUGUUGCAGGUCCUAACCUCGAGAUCAUGGACAUUGUAACACGAUGGCCUGGCAGUACCCAUGAUGCCAGGAUAUUUAGUAACAGCAGGGUGAUGGUUAGGUUUGAAAAUCAAGGACUCCCAGGAAUACUUCUAGGAGAUAAUGGGUAUCCACAGUUACCAUUCCUGUACACACCAGUACUGGUUCCAACGACAGCAGCUGAGAUCAGAUACAAUUUAGCUCACAGAAGAACAAGAAACAUUGUGGAACGGUUAUUUGGAGUGUGGAAGAGGCGGUUUGCAUGCCUUGGGCAAAAACUACGAACGAAACUGGCUACUUCAAACAAGGUUAUUCUUGCAUGUGCUGUGCUGCACAACAUUGCGGUUCAGCAUGAAGAGCCUUUGCCACCUCCAGUAGAAGAACUUCGUGUUUUACCCAUAGUGCCAGUUGCAAACUUGCGUCCACGCAACCACCGAGGAGCUGCAAUGAGAGCAAUGUUUAUUGAACGUCAUUUUGUGUGAAUGCAUUACGUAGUUUCCGUGGUUUUCUGUACAUAACUGCUUCAAAUGUAUUUUUUAAUUUUUUUUAAUAGUUUCAGUAGUGAAUUAAUUUUUUUUUAUUUUUCCAGGCACAGUCUAGAACAUGGAAUGUAAUAGGCCUCUUGGGGAAUCUCGCCAUGUAUAUAAAUAUAGGAGAUAACGCAUUGAGCACUAUACCUCCAGAGAGCUUCCUCUAAGGUGAUGUGGAAACUGGUGCAAUGGGUCAAAAAUGUGAGUAAAUGGGUAAGUUUCCUGCAAUGUGUAUGUAAUGAUGUUUAUUUGUUCAGUUUUUUUAUACAAUUGAAAUUUAGUGAAGCUUUUGUUUUCUUUUAACAGGUUUCUGUGUUGUUAAGCGAUUACAUAAAAAAUAUACCUUUUUAAGGUGUCAGUUAGCAGUCUUUAUCCUAACAUUUAUUUAACCACUUUGCAAAUCUUAAGUAUCUAAUAAAACUUUAGCAUUUCAUGAUGUGGGUUAUGUGAGGCCUAUGGGAAUCGGAGAAAUAGUUAAGCCUUAUGUAUAUAAAUGAAAAGUGCAUAUUAUCAAUGAAUUUCAAUGAGUUUUUUUAUUAAUUAUUCAUGCAUAUUAAUGUCGUGAUAGAACAUACCCUAAUUUAACCAGCUGCAUUUCUCAAGCCUCGUAAUUACUGAUUUUAAAAUAAAGUGAUUUGUGUGUUCAUAAUAAUUACCAAGCUAUAUAGAUGCAGAAUAAAUACUUCAACAAGAUUUAUAUUGCACUGAAUAAAGUCUCAAUGAUUUUAAUACAAAAGCAUGUGUGUCUUUUUUCCCCUUUUCCUUGUGCCAAUGUAAGUGUAUUGUGUGGUGUAGGGUGAGAUUUGCUUGGAGACAGACUAGACACACUGACACUGCAGGUAACGGAAAGAUUACUGCUAAAAGGUCCACAGUGAUGAGAGUGAUCACAAUGGAGGAGUGUGUCUGACAAUAUAAUUGGCCAGUGUUCAGCCCUUUUGCAGCAAGUUAAAAAAUUUUUAGUAUCCUUGAAACCUGGUUUUCUAAAUAAUGAAAGAAAAAUUGACAAUAGUAGAUACCAGAUACUCUUAGAAUUAGUGUAUGUAUAUAGCAGUAAAAUAAGUUCUAAAAAGUUUUAACCAACUAUCUAGAGAUAUAUAAAUAGCUUAUCACCCUGCUUUCAGCACCAUUUAUUGCUGUGUAUGGUAAAGUCGAGUGAGAGACAAGAGAUCUGUUUUUAGAGAUUAGUGGUCAUAAAAGCAUUGGUUAUGCAAAAAACAAUAAAUUGCUAAUGAGUCCUCUUGGAAUGGUCUGUUGCAAUUUUAACAUUUUUGCAGGUAUUACAAAAUGAUGGAAAGUCGAAAUAAUGUCAAAUAUUUACAUUUAUUAUUAGUCUGAUGUUAGAGUUGUAACUAUGUACACUGUUUAAUGUGCUUAAAAAUUAGCCAAACCUUCCUCUUAUUAUAAAUGUUGUAUGCAUACUGUUAUGCCUUUAAUUGUCUAUUUUGCUGUUUAACAUUAAAGUUUCACUGCAGUUUAUAAACGGGACUAAACUAUAGCAGCAGUUAACACAGUAAGUUCUAACACUAAUUUAAAUAACAUAGCAAUAUAAAACAAACCUAUUGCUAGAUUAGGUUUCAAGAGAAUAUCACAUUGGACCAGUGCAAAACCAGGCAAGGUUCAAAAUGCAUAAACAUCGCUGUAUAAAUAUACAGAGAUAAAUAAAGGAAGAAACAACAUUUUUGAAGCUUAGCAUAAAUGUUUGAUCUUUAACAAUGUGUACAAUAAUAAACAACUAAUUGUCAUUCUAAAAUUUCACAAUAUUUUAUUUUUUUAAGAAGCCAUUAAUUUUAAAAAGAGAAGAUCUUUGGAAAUAAAGUGAAUAAUAACUAAAUUGAAUGUUUUUCUUAUAUAAGCUAUAUUAAUAAUAAAUUAAAUCUAUGCUAAACUGUUCAAUAUAUUAAUAAAAAAAAUUUUCUGAGCAGCUUCUUAGAAGUAGAUGAAUUGGAACAUGCGUAAAUGGUUGGUUAUGUCAGUUGUAUUAAUUAUUUGUAUAAAUCUUGGAAUUUUAGGGAAUUUAUUAGUCAUUAAUGUUGCUUACCUACCCUAAACAGUCUUUUCUCUUAAUUUUUAAUACAUAUAUGUCUCAGAGGGUGCUAAUGUAGUUACAUGAAAAUUUAUAAACAUAUUUGCAAAAAUAUUUAAGACUACAUACAGUAAUUUCCAAGAGUAGGUGCACUUACGGGAGAAACAAAAUUCAAAAAUGGUUAUUUUGAUUACUUAUCUGCAAAAAUGUAUAAAAGUAUUUUAAACCACUUAUUUCCUUGACAUAUCACAAAGUUGUUAGAUAACAUUAUCAAACUAAAUAAGAGAAGCUCAAUAAAAUAAUUUUCAGACUUUUAUUUCAAUAUUUUCAGUUGGAAAUUGAAUCAGUAUUGUCUAUGGUCAAGCAAAACAUACAAUUACAAAUAAAAUACACUGUUCAAUACCUACCAACACUAGUUGUUUUCAAUCACAUUUUCUAAUCAUUAGUUGGAGUACACCACAACACCACAGAUGACCACACUUGUCAAUAUUUUAACGAACCCCCAAAAUUUUAAUAAAUUCAGUUACUGUCUGCUUAUGAAUGUUGUCAUUUGUAAAUGGUCCCAAUAAUUAUAAUUUGGAUUCCUAAUCAUACAUAUGAAAAAUAAAUAACACAUUGCUCAUUUAUGUUGUAUACACCUUCUCUUAGGAACAUUGAAUUUUCAGCUGCAUUUGGUAAUUUUAAAGGAAAGCCUCUUUCCUGAACAAAAAAAAAUCUAAUCAAAAUUCUGAUGUUUUUACUUACAUGUUAUGCAAUUUUUCUCUGUAAGAUACUUCAAAUAUUUUGCAGUAGUUUACAUUUUUAACAAGUAGAUAAGUCAGGUAUAUUUAUUUCAAAUACUGUGUGAUACUAUGAAAAGGGAUGGGUUUGCUACAUCAAAUAGUGGGCAUGGGAUAUAUUAGGUGUGGUAAGUUCAAUUUAAAAUCCUUGAUUAAGUAUUAUGGAUCAUUAGUAUUUAAUUAAGCUAUGCUAGAAACAUUUCAGAUCAUUUAAAUAAUUUCUUAGUUUUACCAAUUUGAAAUGUCUCUUCAUUUAACCCAACACACCAUCCUAACUCUCUAAUAUUUGUAAUGCUACUAACCUAACCAGUCGCUGACACAACUUCAAACAGUAUAUUUUUAUAUGGCUUAACAAACUUAACUGUUUAAACAAUUUCACAGUUAGCUAACAUAAUAACCAACAACUCUCACAAUUUUACACUAUCUAUUAUAUAACUUAAUCUAACCACUCCUUAAAAAGAUUCAAUCUGGAAAAUUGUAAACAAUAUCGCAAUGCCCUCUUAGAUAAUGUUUGGAAAAUAUGUUAGGACAUUAAUAAAAACUGGUUUUUGGAUUUUUUUUCAGCUAAGAGGCUUUCUUUCAAUUUUACCGUGCCAUUUUGCAGAAUUUUACUAAGUGCAAUUUAGAAACCACAGGAAAGAAUAAAUACAAAUAAGGGCAUAAUAUAAAAAUGGUUAUCGACUGUAAUAUGCAAGCAAUUUACAGUGUUUUCCCGUUUCCUGAUUUCAUUAAUUCCAUUCGCAACUUGUGUUCUUCUUCACGAUGAUUCUUUGCCUGCUCGUGAAGCUCUUUUGUAUAUAUUGCAGCAGUUCUUGCUGCCCUCACUCGCAGUUUCUGCUCAAGCAUCAAAAGCUUAUGAUGCUCAAUUUCCCGCUUUUCUGUACUGUUAAGUUUAUGCAGGCGAUGCUGCAGUUCAUCUUCAAUUGCUACUUCACGACGUGUAUUUGACUUAUUGGAGCGUCCAGAAAGGAGAGCAUCCUUCUUUCUCACCUGUGGGCUGUCAACCUCCACCUCAUAAGUAAUUUCUUCUUCAGACAUAGAUUCUGAAAUGGGCAGCUCAUAGUCAUGGUCCAAUGCAAUUACUGCCUGGUACUUAGCAGCAUUUUCAGCACUGUCUGCGGAAACGACCAUGUCAUGAUCGCCACCAUCUACAAUAAAGUGCUGUGUCCCAGCUAAUGCCACUUCCAAUUCGGGGUUCGUGGAGGGCUCCUGGACAAAUGGACCACCACCAGUGGCCAUUCGCUGCCUUGUGUUGGCAGCAAGGAUCUUCUUCCUCUUCAUUUUCUCAUUUUCCCAACAUUUCUUUAGCUGGGAUGCAGUACGCUGCAACAAAAAAAGUAAAAACAAUUGUAGUAAUGCCAUAAGUUCUGAUAACUUUUCCAACAUGCACAGUUUUAUUAUUUCAAUAAUGAUGGAAAAACACAAACUUCUGAAAGCAUAAAAUGUAUAUUUUAUGCAGAAUAUAAUCCAUCUAAAAUACCACAAUCUGAUUUUAUUAGCCUAUUUAAAUAGUUAAUUUAAGUGAUAGUUAAAUGUGAAAGAAAAAAUCGGCCAAAAAUAAUCUUUGCAGAUGAGAUAUUUUAGAAAAUUUUUAUACACCCUUCAAUGUAAAAUAAUUAAAUUAUUAACUGCUUAAUGUCGCUGCUUUCAAUAAUGUGUAUUAGAAUUAUGCAGAAAUACAUGAUCAACUUUGGAUUAACGAGAGGCAGUUAAUAAAAAAAUUUAUAAUGAAACAUUGGGUACUAUAUGCAGUCCAACAGAUCAUAUGAUAUAAAAACACUAAAGUACGUUCCUUUAUUUUAAUAAUUUGCUACUAACCUUGGAGACUUCUGAAUAAGAAUUGAAAUCUUUUUCAAUCUCCUGCCAAGCUUUCCGCUUUUCGGCGACGUUUUUGAAAUCCGUUUUUUUGGCUUCCACUAUUUUUGCCCUAUUUUCCACUAAUGAAAAUAAAAUUGACUUCUCAUUCAUAGAAAACCUUUCGGCAAAUUGCCUCGGAGCACAAUCCAUAACGACCACGUGGAUCGGUGGAUACACAAAUGUUUAUUAUUUUCACAUACAAAAAAAUAAAUAUACAAUAUAGGUUUCCUAUUGGCCGAGGUUAUGUCGUCAUGAACGACGUCAUUGAUUUCGGGCCUUAUUCGAGUAAACUCGGCCACCUUCGUAAUUAAGUAGCAUUCUUCACUUUACUUUGUAAAACCUAGCCGGGCUUAUACUAAAAUAUUUCUAACAUACGAAAUUUAGUGAACUUCAAAUCCUUCACUAAAGGAAGUACGAGUAGACACUUGGCUUCUAGUAGAAUCUGUGCAUACGGCCCUAUGUGUAUCCCAUCAGGGAUUUGUAUAGUUUACGUAAGCAAUUAGGUGACCUGUCGUGGCACCUGCGCCUCACGCUUUAACGUCCCACCACGGGACAUAGUUCUUUGCCCACGCAGGGCGGCACUGCGCCGAACGCGACCAGAACUUUCGGACGAGUAUUCACCUGGGGCGUGCCACGGCCACGUGUGUGAUAUCACUCCCGAUUCCACCGUGUCCGUGCCCAGCUUAACGUGGCCCAGCCACCCCGCGGACUAUCCGCGCAUGCAUAUCCUCCUGUGCGGGACUAAUCGCAGUAAUUCAGUGUAACGUGUUUUAAUAAGUAAAUAUUCUCUUGUGCGGGACUAAUCGCAGUAAUUCAGUGUAACGUGUUUUAAUAAGUAAAUCAUUCUCCUGUGCGGACUAACCACAGUAAUCUAGUGUCAUGUGUUUCCUUAAUUAAUUUGCGGGACCGAUCGUCCACACACGUCACGCCACGUCCGUGUACUCUCGCAGAGACCCUAGCAGGUUCAGGUGCGCGGAGCUUAGGUCGACGGUGAAGCGGCCAGUCACGUGAACGUGUGACCUGUAGAGUGUGCUACGUAAUAAAUCACCAAAAGAA